GAUCUGGCUCAGAUUGAACGCUGGCGGCAGGCUUAACACAUGCAAGUCGAACGGUAACAUAAAGAAGCUUGCUUCUUUGAUGACGAGUGGCGGACGGGUGAGUAAUGCUUGGGAAUCUAGCUUAUGGAGGGGGAUAACUACGGGAAACUGUAGCUAAUACCGCGUAGAAUCGAGAGAUGAAAGUGUGGGACCUUCGGGCCACAUGCCAUAGGAUGAGCCCAAGUGGGAUUAGGUAGUUGGG
rnacentral:rRNA from 1 species